ACUACGGGUGGCUGCAGUGGGGGAUAUUGCACAAUGGGGGGAACCCUGAUGCAGCGACGCCGCGUGGGUGAAGAAGCGCCUCGGCGCGUAAAGCCCUGUCAGCAGGGAAGAAAAUGACGGUACCUGAAGAAGAAGCCCCGGCUAACUACGGGCCAGCAGCCGCGGUAAUACGUAGGGGGCAAGCGUUAUCCGGAUUUACUGGGUGUAAAGGGGGCGCAGACGGGGAUGCAAGCCAGGAGUGAAAGCCCGGGGCCCAACCCCGGGACUGCUCUUGGAACUGGGUGGCUGGAGUGCAGGAGGGGCAGGCGGAAUUCCUGGGGUAGCGGUGAAAUGCGUAGAUAUCAGGAGGAACACCGGUGGCGAAGGCGGCCUGCUGGACUGCAACUGACGUUGAGGCCCGAAAGCGUGGGGAGCAAACAGGAUUAGAUACCCUAGUAGUC
rnacentral:rRNA from 1 species